rnacentral:rRNA from 1 species
UACGUAGGCAGCGAGCGUUGUUCGGAAUUACUGGGCGUAAAGAGUGUGUAGGCGGUGCUCUAAGUUCGGUGUGAAAUCUCUCGGCUUAACUGGGAGGGUGCGCCGGAAACUGGAGUGCUCGAACGUGGGAGAGGAAAGCGGAAUUCCUGGUGUAGCGGUGAAAUGCGUAGAUAUCAGGAGGAACACCUGCGGUGUAGACGGCUUUCUGGACCAUUGUUGACGCUGAGACACGAAAGCGUGGGGAGCAAACAGG